rnacentral:rRNA from 1 species
UACGUAGGGUGCAAGCGUUGUCCGGAAUUAUUGGGCGUAAAGAGCUCGUAGGCGGCUUGUCGCGUCGUCCGUGAAAACCUGCAGCUCAACUGCAGGCUUGCGGUCGAUACGGGCAGGCUAGAGUGAUGUAGGGGAGACUGGAAUUCCUGGUGUAGCGGUGAAAUGCGCAGAUAUCAGGAGGAACACCGAUGGCGAAGGCAGGUCUCUGGGCAUUAACUGACGCUGAGGAGCGAAAGCAUGGGGAGCGAACAGG